rnacentral:rRNA from 1 species
CGAGUUGUAAUUUGCAGAGGAUGUUUCGGGUAAGAUUUUGGUCUAAGUUCCUUGGAACAGGACGUCAUAGAGGGUGAGAAUCCCGUACGUGACCGUUAAUCGCACUCAUGUGAAACUCCUUCGACGAGUCGAGUUGUUUGGGAAUGCAGCUCAAAAUGGGUGGUAAAUUUCAUCUAAAGCUAAACAUUGGCCAGAGACCGAUAGCGCACAAGUAGAGUGAUCGAAAGAUGAAAAGCACUUUGAAAAGAGAGUUAAACAGUAUGAGAAAUUGUUGAAAGGGAAGCGCUUGCAACCAGACUUGUUUAUAGGGUUCAGCCGCCGUUCUCGUCGGUGUAUUUCCCUAUUAUCAGGCCAGCAUCAGUUUAGGUGGAAGGUAAAAGGCCUUGGGAAUGUAUCAUCCUUCGGGAUGUCUUAUAGCCCUCGGUGUAAUGCUUCCCUCCUGGACUGAGGAACGCGCUUUUGCUCGGAUGCUGGCGUAAUGGUUGUAAGCGACC